rnacentral:piRNA from 1 species
UAGAGUUCAUCUGUAGAAGAUCCUUUCCCUA